CACGUAGGGGCCAAGCGUUGUCCGGAUUUAUUGGGCGUAAAGAGCUCGUAGGCGGUUGGGUAAGUCGGGUGUGAAAACUCCAGCUCAACUUGGAGACGCCACCCGAUACUGCUCUGACUUGAGUUCGGUAGGGGAGUGGGGAAUUCUUGGUGUAGCAGUGAAAUGCGUAGAUAUCAAGAGGAACACCAGUGGCGAAGGCGAGUCCCUGGACAAACCCUGACACUGAGGCACGAAAGCCAAGGGAGCAAACAGG
rnacentral:rRNA from 1 species